GCCUAAUUAGUUUUAUACAAAAUAUGGUUUU
rnacentral:tRNA from 2 species